CGGGCACGCGGCGGCGUUACGGUUUUUUCGAUUUUACAUUUAAUAUUCCCCGUGUAAUAAUAAUUCCGGUUCUCCCGGUUUACAUUUCAUAUUUUUUUUUUUUGCUCUCUUUCCUUUUUUUCUCCCUGUCUGCGAGCGUAUCUAUAUUCCAGCGCUAACCCACUCCGGUCGGUAACUAUGUAAUAGGUAGUACUGCCUACACGUAGUUUUCAAAAAAACGAUGUUUUCAUGAGUUUCGAGAAGUGCUUUGAGGCCAAGAGAUUACCUUGGCGAUCGCGGGUUCCGUCUGCUGUUUCCGAGAUUGUUGACUCAGAUGAACGGCAUUGGAAAAAUUGUGCAGACCCGACCAAAUGUGGAUGAAUAAUAACGGAUACGUGGUAAGUUUAUCGGCAUUUGCGAAGUACACGUUGUUCCGGAUAAAAUGUUUUGUUUUCAACGUACGUCGUCGAAUCGAUUGCCUUGAAAAUGAAACGAUACGUGGACACCGUAAUC